UUUAACGAAAUGAUCGUCUAUUAUGUUGCAGUUUUAGUUCUGUGUUAAUAUACAAUUUAUAUACAAUUUUCUGUUGUCCAGCUUUAUGAAUAAAAAUAUAUGCCAAAAACAUUUUCAUAUUCUAGUUGGUGUAUCAAAUAGAAUAAAAUUGUAGAUAAUUUGGAAAUGUUUUGAGAGAUGUCAAUACAGUGUCUGAAAUAACAAAUAGAUGAAAUUUCACUGAAGAACUUGCCCCAAAAAAGUCAUUUUAGUAAAGUAAACAGCAAUAUACAUGUAGUGACAUUUUAGUAUAACAUAUCGCCAUCCACCUUUUUAUUGUACAUCAACAGCAAGAAAUAUAUCUGAUAUACAUUCUACAUUAGUAAGACAGACAGUUUACGGGUGCUCUAAGCUAUAGGACAUGCCUCUUAGCUGAAAGCUUUUAUUUGUUUUAAGACUUAGCCUUAGAAAAAAUAAACAAUUCCAAAUCAUAGAAAGAAAAGGUUGUUUCACAUGAAAAUUUAUCAACAUAUAAAACAUGUCUAUUACUCUACACAAAAACUGUCAGUUUGUUGAUAUAUUUAUUGAAUUCUGAAAAGGGUUGCAUAAAGCGGCCGCACUUUCGGAUAGUUCAGCGCCUUUAAAAACUCCGCAUUUUCAAAGAAUUGUUCCAUAUCAUUUUUGUGGCGAUUGUCGUCAGACAAUAGCCACAGAGUCGGCACAAUCAACAGCAACAACAACAACAACUCUCGAACGAACUGGAAAAAGCCGAAAAUAGCCGAAGAAAAGUAUAAGGUAGUUUUGACGAGAUGAGACUGAGAUGCAGAAAACCUAAUAACCGCAAAUGGCUUCCUAAAUAAUCAUACCGAAAAAAUGCAACUGGAGAUACUUAAUUAGCAGAUAAACAUUUAAACAACAGAAAUACACAUUUAAACUGAUUAUCGUCUGCAUGAUAACUUAUUUCGAUUUGGUUUUUACGUGCACUAUUUCUUUUCGCUAAUUAAUCGUACUAUUUUUGCGGGAAUUUAUAUAAAUACGCGCAGUGACGCCAUUGUUGUUUACUAUACGCAGGGAAGAAGAGCACAUUUACCCAAUAAAGUACUGUAUACCUCUUAAUGAGAAGAGAAUAACACAUACGGAUAGCACCGGGUAACAACCACACACCACACCUUAGCACGCAAAACCACAGAAGUGUGGUGCGCCUGUUGAGGACAAAAACACACAGGUUGAUGCAAUCAGAUUAGAUGGAGAUUAUGUUGAGCUGUUCUUGAUACGGAGGACAUUAUCAUCUGUAACGUCCAAAUUUUGAAGGAAGUACCGGCCUGUGAUACUGACAGUGCAGAUGACAUAGAUGUAGAAAUGGAAACGUUGCGAAAAUUGUCCGGCCGCUUCACUUAAAUUAAAAAAAAAAUGCAGUCAAGUCCUAUCAGAAGUGAACUGAGUUUCUCUAAAAAGAAAAAAAAAAACCUGCCUGUUUUAAAGCUGCUUACCAGCAUUUUUUGGUGAUGAAACAUAUUUCUAAAAAUUACUUAAUUGUUUUAAAGGAAGGAUGUUAAUAAAAAAUACGAUAUUUUGAAGGAUUUUAAAGAAACUUUACAUAAAUGUUCACCACAUUGAGAAGACAUGCAAAGGUCAUGAAAGAAACCCAAUUAUAAGUAGUCUAUGUUGAUUAUAUAUGCUAAUCAUACAGUAUUCAAAAAGUUUCAAGGAAAAAAAUGUGUCAACUUGUAGUGCUUGUAUUCACAUUAUACUCCAGAAGAACUGGCAUGUACUAUUUGUUUGGUUUUAACAUGUAAAAUUUGUAUUAGAUUAUAUUUAUUUUAUUUUG